GAUGAAGAACGCAGCGAAAUGCGAUACGUAGCGUGAAUUGCAGAAUUCAGUGAAUCAUCGAAUCUUUGAACGCACAUUGCACCUCUCGGUAUUCCGGGAGGUAUGCCUGUUCGAGCGUCAUUUGUACCCUCAAGCUCUGCUUGGUGUUGGGUGUUUGUUCCGCCUCUGUGUGUGAACUCGCCUCAAAACAAUUGGCAGCCGGCGUACUUGUUUCGGAGCGCAGCACAUUUUGCGAUCCAGAUCAACGUACAGCGGCAUCCAAGAAGCCUUAUUUAACGCUCUUGACCUCGGAUCAGGUAGGGAUACCCGCUGAACUUAAGCAUAUCAAUAAGCGGAGGA
rnacentral:misc_RNA from 1 species